rnacentral:rRNA from 1 species
CCUACGGGAGGCAGCAGUGAGGAAUUUUGCGCAAUGGACGAAAGUCUGACGCAGCAACGCCGCGUGAUCGAAGAAGCUUUGCGGAGUGUAAAGAUCUGUCAUAAGGGAAGAAUAAUAUGUAUACUAACACUAUACAUAUCUGACGGUACCUUAUAAGAAAGCCCCGGCUAACUUCGUGCCAGCAGCCGCGGUAAUACGAGGGGGGCAAGCGUUGUCCGGAUUUAUUGGGCGUAAAGGGCUCGUAGGUGGGCUAGUAAGUCAAAAUUGAAAUCCAAUGGCUUAACCAUUGUCACGGUUUUGAUACUGCUAGUCUUGAGUGAAAUAGAGGUAAGUGGAAUUCCUGGUGUAGCGGUGAAAUGCGUAGAUAUCAGGAGGAACGCCGAAGGAGAAGUCAGCUUACUAGAUUUAUACUGACACUGAGGAGCGAAAGCGUGGGUAGCAAACAGGAUUAGAGACCCUGGUAGUCCACGCUGUAAACGAUGAGUACUAGAUGGUGGGUGAUUCGACCCUCUCACUGUUACAGUUAACGCAUUAAGUACUCCGCCUGGGAAGUACGUUCGCAAGAAUGAAACUCAAAGGAAUUGACGG